rnacentral:rRNA from 1 species
UACGAAGGGGGCAAGCGUUGUUCGGAAUUAUUGGGCGUAAAGGGAGCGUAGGCGGUUCGGCAAGUCUUUAGUGAAAUCUCUGGGCUCAACUCAGAGUCUGCUGGAGAAACUGCCGGGCUGGAGUAUGGGAGAGGUGAGUGGAAUUCCCGGUGUAGCGGUGAAAUGCGCAGAUAUCAGGAAGAACACCCGUGGCUAAGGCGGCUCUCUAGUACGGUACUGACGCUGAGACGCGAAAGCGUGGGGAGCGAACAGG